UCUAACCCUCACGGUUUUGGAAAUGCCGCAAAGAUUCGGUAUUUAUACAAUAUACAUGCUGUAUGUUUACCGUCAUACUUCAGUCAUUUUAGCCAGUUUUUUUGCCGAAUUAUUACGAAAAAAUUACGAUAUAAAUUCAGAAUACUUACGGCAAUAUAAUAGGAAAAUUACGGUUUAUUAACAGCAUUCAAACCGUAAGUGUACCGCAUAUUUACUGUAUAUUUGCGGCACUAUUGCAGCAAAAAACCGGAAAAGAAGAUCCCUACUUUCUAUUACCGUCCAGACCGGGAUUCGAACCUGGAUCAUUUAGUUACACGCCAAAGGUUCUACCAGCUGAGCUAUCUGAGACACUAUCUGGAACUAUUUAUUCAGUCAACUAAUAAGACCCACCGAGUAAUAAACACCACCGUCUAUCUUACGAAUUAUAACGGUAAAUUUAUGGUAAACGCAUUAAUACCGAAAAUUUACGGUGUUUCAAAAACCGCGAGGAAAAUCUUAACAAUCUACUGAUGGAUUCU